CGGAGGGUGCAAGCGUUAUCCGGACUUAUUGGGUUUAAAGGGUCCGUAGGCGGGUUAUUAAGUCAGUGGUGAAAUCUCAUAGCUCAACUAUGAAACUGCCAUUGAUACUGAUAGUCUUGAGUAUAUUUGAAGUAGCUGGAAUAAGUAGUGUAGCGGUGAAAUGCAUAGAUAUUACUUAGAACACCAAUAGCGAAGGCAGGUUACUAAGAUAUUACUGACGCUGAGGACGAGAGCGUAGGGAGCGAACAGGAUU
rnacentral:rRNA from 1 species